UCAUGCCAUGCACGUAAUUUAAGCUGAUAUCUUUCAUUAACAUUGUUCAAUUGCAAAUGGAUACCGCUGGCACCGCUAACUUUUAAGUUUAAAAUGUUCAACCAACCCGCAACCAGAAAAUAGAGGUGAAUUGAUCUGAAAAAGAAUGCCGUCCAGAAUGCAGCAUUCUCAAAAUAUGGUUGCUAAAAUAUGGACUUAUGAUCUACGGCAGUGAAUGUGAUGAAGAGUAGUGGAAAUAUUUUCUUCUCAAGAUGAACUACAUUCUGACGUCAUGAGAUAAUAAUACAACAGUUCUGUUCGCCC